rnacentral:rRNA from 1 species
GAUGAACGCUGGCGGCGUGCUUAAUACAUGCAAGUCGAGCGAAGCGCUUUAACGGAAUUCUUCGGAAGGAAGAUGAAGUGACUGAGCGGCGGACGGGUGAGUAACGCGUGGGUAACCUGCCUCAUACAGGGGGAUAACAGUUAGAAAUGGCUGCUAAUACCGCAUAAGCGCACAGGACCGCAUGGUCUGGUGUGAAAAACUCCGGUGGUAUGGGAUGGACCCGCGUUGGAUUAGGUAGUUGGUGGGGUAACGGCCUACCAAGCCGACGAUCCAUAGCCGGCCUGAGAGGGUGGACGGCCACAUUGGGACUGAGACACGGCCCAGACUCCUACGGGAGGCAGCAGUAGGGAAUAUUGCACAAUGGGGGAAACCCUGAUGCAGCGACGCCGCGUGAAGGAAGAAGUAUCUCGGUAUGUAAACUUCUAUCAGCAGGGAAGACAAUGACG